CACAUACAUAUAUAGACGUGUAUGUAUAUCUAAGUAUACGCAUGUAUAUGUAUGCAUG
rnacentral:pre_miRNA from 1 species